UAUAUUGUGCUAAUAAUCAUAUUUCGCAAGCCCUAGCCCACGCGUACUUCUUCUCCUCUCCACAGUCGAAAUCCUUCUCCUGCGAAAAUGGUGUUCACCGGCCGUCCAUUCGCAAAACCGUUCUUCCGUCCAUUCAACGCCCAUCCGUUCAAUGCUCGUCUGUUCAACGCUAUCUGUUCGACUUUCGCCGUGUUGGUAGCCAGUUCAACGCCGUCCGUUCCUUGUUCAUAGUCAGUUCAACGUUGUUCGUUCUACGUUCGUAGUCGGUCAACGCCGUCUGUACGACUUCCACGUUCAUAGUCAGUUACACCUCUUCGAAUCCCUCACUUCUGCCGUUUCAAAUUUCGUCUGUCCACCCCUUCAUAGUCAGUCCGUUCAUCCGUCCAUCAUCCACUAAGUUGAGAUUGACCAAAGAACAUAUCCAGGCUAUGUGUAAGCUGGUCACCAAGUGUUGUGAAGAUUCCAGACAAAGCAUACGACGAGCUCCUCAAAAGGGGUCAUUGGGCACUGCUGGCCAUAAAUGCGUAUGAUGAUACAGUAUUUUACCUCGACUCACUAAGGACAACAUCGAAGUCAACUACAAGAUACGUCACUGACACGUAAGUUAAUCUAGUAUUUCAUUUAGUGUUGAUUCUUAUAUGCAUGUACACAAUAUUUAAACUAUUUGUUCGUCUCUAGAAACUAGAGAGAUUGUCAAGGGACAAAAAGUGAUCAAUUUUGUUCUUGGAUGAGGCCGUACCUCAUUCGUGUCAAUCUCACAUCCUUUUAGGAUUGUUCUAAGAGAUAUGGAAAAAAAAUACAGCCAUUAAAGAUCAUUAAAAGAAUAGUUAUCAUCAUAAGUGAAUCGCCCGACACUGGGAAGGGUCAUUACUACCGGAAGAGAAGGAAUAAUGAAUGAUUGAGUUAAUAAUCAUAUAAUCAGUGUUGAUCCAAUUUCAAAUAAAUAAGAUACAAGACUUUUCCUUGGUAAAAUUUAAAGAGACUAAUGCUCAAAAUACAAUGAAACAAAGUAAAGUAGUUGUAGCUAUUACGGUCAAAUACUGCCAAUAAUAGCACUUGAAAAUAAAUAGAGGCCCUUAUGAAAGAUCCCAAGACAUAUUGUUCAAAGUUAAUUUUUUUAGUAGUAUUUAUUAUCCUUAUCCAUUUAUUCUGUAACUUAAGCUACAGUAAGAUGUUUUUCCAACACAUAAAUUUUAGUGCUUCAAACAAGAAGAAGUGAAAAGAUCAAAAGUAACGCCAAGAAAAAAAAGUGAAAAAAGGAUAUAUCACAUAUCAAAUGUGUACACUUUCUUGUGAGAUCGGCAGAAUAUCUUCCACCAUUUUGCAAGAUAAGCUUUGACAUCUCCUUGCGCUCACCUGAGACCCAGAAAUGAUGGAACUAACACAAUUUCAUCGGAUGUCCCCAAGAGCACCAUAAAUAAGAAGAAAUACAAGAAAACAAUUUUCUCUGAGAAUAAAUAAAAUAUUAUAAAACACAACCUGCAGGAAUUCCAGAUACCGAAAUAUUCAAUCCAGAAAAUGGAAGGACCCGAUAUCCCUCCUGAGGCACAACACAAUGUUCAAUCCAGCAUUGUUGUAACCAAGAAAAUGACACGAUUGGUUUCUUUGAAAUGUUUAGUGCCCACUGAAAACAGAGAAAAUAAUAUGAAAGUAUCUGUCAAAACCUUUGCAAUAACAUUUCAGGUAGAAUAAAACUAAAAACCAUUAUUAAGUCUAUUACACAUUUAACAAUUAAAUUAAGGGAGAAUAUCAAUUUAUACCCCUAAACCUUAGAGAUUGUAUCAAUUUAAACCCUGGCUUUUGUUAGUGUAUCAAUUUACGCCCUCUAUUACAUUCUUUUUUGAAAAAUUUCGUGUGAAACUUAUAAUUAUAUCAAUUAGAUCAAUUUAAAGGUAACCGUGAUUAAAGGUCUAAAUUGAUUUAAAAUUGAAUUUUGUGGAGUUUAAUUGACUCAAAUCUUAUGAUUCACGUGAUAUUCAUGAAAUGGUCUAAAUACACAUACAUAUCACGUCAAGAAAAUCGAAAGUUCAAGCAACACGACCUUGUAUUUCGCAGCCAAAGUAUUCUUCGCGAUAACAAAACUGACAUCUAGUGAUGCUUUCGUAUGCAAUACUCCCCCCAUUGCACUAACUAACUUCCCUAUCUCAACCUGCAAUGCAACUUUGUGUCAUUAGUUCUACAAAAAUAAAAUUACUAAUUACUAAUAAGAACAUUUGCAACGUACCUUUUCAUCUUCCUGAAAAUCGGAUGCCAAGAUUUUCACACCAUCCAUGGCAAGGCAGCAAGUAUAACCCUGUUGAGGAAGAGGUCUGUGCUCUUUUUGCACAUGACAUCACGCACUGAGGACCUUCCCAACAGAAAUUCAAGUUGUCAGCGACGCACCAAAUCCACGACGUCGAACUGAAAUGAGAAUUUCAACCAACUAGGUUUGGCUAUUCGGAAAGAGAGAGCAGUGAAGUAUAUAUUACUCGGCUACUGCGUACAUGCAGCAUGCACUGACAAAUAUUAGCUGCAAUUCGGUAACUAUACCUUUGACAAAUUAAUGGAGACAUUCAAUUUCCUGUUAAUCUCAUUCUCCAGUCCAAAAUUUCUCUCCAAUUCUUUUCCGCAAAAGAAAGAAAGAAAAGGCUGGAACUACAAAUUAACUAUACCUAACAAGUUGCAUCCCUUGGCGCGAAGAUCCUCGAACUUUGCCUGAAAGCAGGAAUCAACAACUAAUAAACACAUUGCAAAUCCGAAGUAGCCAUAUAAAUUGAACAAGAAAUCGAUGAGACGUUUCGUACGUGAUUGGCAGAGGAGAUAACAUGAUAAUCGUUAGGGGCGUUUUGAGAGGGAUCGCAACAGAGGAAAACCUCAGCCCCAUUCUGCUUGAAAGUGUCGUGAAAAGCAUCGAACAUCUCCGGUGCGACAAGAUUACGAGAGAGGAACACAUUAGCUCCGACAAAUGGCUUGGGCUUCAGAAUUUGGAGAGUUGCUUCGAUUACUUUCUGUGUCGAUGGAAGUCCGACGAGAGAGGAUUUUGUGAGAAAUUGGAGGGAAGAAAGAUUGAGAGUGUGAAUGGCGGAAGGGUUUUGUGAAAUGAAGUUGAGCUUUUGUAGCACAUUCACCGGGUGCUUGGCGUUGAUAUUUAAAAAA